rnacentral:tRNA from 1 species
GGAAGGGUCGCAUAGCGGCCUAGUGCAACGGCUUGGAAAGCCGUGACCCUUUUUGGGUCUCGUGGGUUCGAAUCCCACCCCUUCCG